GCACCCAUAGCUCAAUUGGAAGAGCUACGGUCUUCUAAAUCGUAGGUUCCGCGUUCGAGCCGCGGUGGGUGCG
rnacentral:tRNA from 1 species